rnacentral:lncRNA from 1 species
GACAAAUAAAACCGUGUUCAUAGGAUUGUAAAUUUUUUUUGUGAUUACAACUCCGUAAAUCAUCAUGUUAAUAAAACUUGCGGCUGCAAAGAAGAAAACAUCACCAGUAAGAGCCCGUGUUUGUUGGAGUAUUAUUUUUUUUUUUUUUUGCUGUUGAAAGAUUUAAGAUCGGAAGUAUGCGUUUGCUUUAAAGGAGGUGUUGAG